UACGAAGGGGGGCUAGCGUUGUUCGGAAUUACUGGGCGUAAAGCGUACGUAGGCGGAUUGUUAAGUGAGGGGUGAAAUCCCGAGGCUCAACCUCGGAACUGCCUUUCAUACUGGCAAUCUUGAGUCCGGGAGAGGUGAGUGGAACUCCUAGUGUAGAGAUGAAAAUUCGUAGAUAUUAGGAAGAACACCAGCGGCGAAGGCGGCAUCCUGGACUGGUCCUGACACUCAGGAGCGAAAGCGUGGGGAGCGAUCCGG
rnacentral:rRNA from 1 species